rnacentral:rRNA from 1 species
AGUCACCCAAUCUAAGUAAUUCAGCGUAAAAGGUGGUUAGAUGACUCUUCUAAGUAAGGAAGAGAGGGAACCGAUCCGGGAAGGACAAGGGUGUAAUCUGGUUAACCCUCCUGAGAAAGUGGAAGUUUUCCCUUUAGGUUGAGGCCAUGGAACCGGUGAAUUGAAGACAUGGAUUAGGUACCCAUUUAUUGCCGACGCAAACUUUGCUAUAGGGUGGCUGCUUGAGAACUACGAGCGUGUGCUUAAAACUCAAAGAAUUUGGCGGCUCGUUAACUACCUAGGGGAAUAUGUGCCUUAAUCCGAUGUUACCCGUUGUAUCUUACUGCGCCUUGAAAAAGAACAGUUGGUGUAUUGCCGUUGUCAGCUUGUUGUGGAGCAAAAAGUAACAGGCUCGAUGGGACUACUAAUUCGUUAGUAUAAUCCAUGAAUUCAGGUCGAAAUGCUGCCUAUGGUGCUAGGGAGUAGGUGUUACAAUUUUGAGUUAAAAUAACGGAUCUCAUAUGUGAAAUUUCUAUGAGGGAAGGUGGACUUAGGAGUAAGUGAGGAUUAGUAUGCUCCCCUGAACAUGAAUCUAACUUGUGUACAAACCGCCCGUCGCUCUCGCCGGAAGGUGAGAU